rnacentral:rRNA from 1 species
CACGUAGGGGGCAAGCGUUGGUCCGGAUUUAUUGGGCGUAAAGAGCUCGUAGGUGGUUCGGUAAGUCAGGUGUGAAACCUCCAGGCUCAACCUGGAGACGCCACUUGAUACUGCUGUGACUGGAGUCCGGUAGGGGAGCGGUGGAAUUCCUGGUGUAGCGGUGAAAUGCGCAGAUAUCAGGAGGAACACCAGCGGCGAAGGCGGCGCUCUGGGCCGGUACUGACACUGAGAGACGAAAGCUAGGGGAGUGAAUGGG